CUCAUCUACAAAAAACAAACAAAUACUUGUUAUACUUUUAUGAAUUGUCAAGUUGUACAACACACAGCAAUUAAGAUUAAGACAAACAAAAAAAUCACUGAUAUUAUUAAUUCCAUUGUUGUGUCUAAUAGAUAGAAACAACUUGUGUUGUAAAAGGAAAGAUGACAGCCAGAUGACGUCAAAGUAUCGCGAGAGCGAGACGAAAUUUGAUUUCUUAAAUCAUUCUCGCGGUACUCUGACGUCAUCCGGCUGUCAGUCUUGCGGCGCCGCAUGAAGUCAAAUAAGCCUCCUGACUGCGUGCGAGAACAUUUUGAAUUAUCUGGCACGAGGCAUCACACGUCAAACUUCAACUGACACAACGGUCUCGGUGAAGGGAAUAAGCAAAAGCUCCUUUAAAUUUCGUCAUUUUUUAUACACAUCCCGUUUAUUUUGUAGUUAAUUGUUAGAUAAGUAAGUAAUUUCGUCAAGUUUUCGUUACAGAGUAAGAUUUCGUUAUCAUCGUUACCAUAUACAGUAUUUAUAUUGGUUCAAGAGCGCAGUUUGAUAACUCAUUCAAGCCUUUAAACAUCUAAACAUGUCCUCCAAAAAGGUAAGUUCAGCAGAUCAGCUUAUCUUAUUCUGUAAUAUUGAUACUGGUUUGAGAAAAACUAAGAUUAAACAACGUACAUGUUUCCAGGAAAAAGGGAAAAACACUGGAAAACAAUUUCAGCCUAAGGUUUGAGAUGGCUAACUGUGUACAUUGCCUUUGUGUACUGCAAGCUGAACUUACAGAUUUAUAUGGACUUUACUUACAGGUUUCCUGUGCUGUUUUGCUCCAUUUUACAGAACAAAAUAAGGCUGAGGUAGCACCAUCCUUGUGGUUAGAGUGAAAGAAUGUGGGUAUUGAGACCAAAAUAAAUAAUGUGCCAUUCUGGACAAACAGCUGUGGACAAUACAAGCAGUCAGAGUAGCCCAUUUUCUCACACAGACCUGAGGAUAAGAUUUCCAGUUUGAAAGUGAAGAAAAUGAAUCAUUAUUAACAGCAAUUAGUAGUUUUUCAGCUGAGAAGCCAGGUGAAACUAUAAGGACACUAUGAUUUACUUUCAUAUUAUCAUUCUUUUAUAGAUGAGGAGCAACCAGUAAGAAAAAGCAAAAAGAUGUUUUGAUGUUGCCUGAGGCACCUUAUUCACAUCAGUCAAUUUCUUUCAAUAAUGAAUCAAGAAAUCCUGGAGUGGAGAAUCAUUCUGAAAGUAGACCAAAUACAGGACAACACCACAGCAGUGGUUGGAAAAAUGCAGCAGACAAUGAGCAAACCAAGCUGACUUUCAAAAGAUGAUUCGUUAUCUGUUUCUUCAAAGGGGAGGCAGUUUGGGAGAUGGGAAAUAGGAGGAUGCUUCAGCUACACAGGGCGAAUUUCAGCAGCUCAGUUUCACACUUGCAACUAACAAUGAAUUAUAGUUAGAAGACAACGGAAAUAUUUGACAUGGGAGUCCAGCAGACAGCCAGAGACACGCACACACACGGAGCUGAAGCGCGUUUGACUGACGCGUACGGGAGAUCAGGCACGCGCACGGGAGAUCAGGCACGCGCACGGGAGCUCGCUCGCGCACGCACACACAAACACGGAGCACAGGAAAAUUACACCUGUUCAAUUAAAAUAAAAGAACUUUGUGGUAAACAAUGUUUAGCGUGUCUGAUUUCAUUGGUUGUAAUGAAAUAAAACGAUGUGCUGAGGACUUUAGGCGAACGUCCCCUAAAAGUCCCGAAAGUCCGCUGACCGUCCUGCAAACGUCCUUGUGAAAGUCCGGAGGACGUCUUCGCGGACGUCCGCUCGACGUAACAGGGGACCCUACACGAUAACGUCCAGGGGACGUUCGCAGAGGACAUUUAGGGGACGUCCAGGGGACCUUUUUUUGUUAGCUG